GACCCCGCAUUGGGACAAUAAGAAGAUUUGGGAGUAUCAGCAGGCUGUGUCAUAGCCUCAGCUGUUGUAGUUGCCUGCACGCAUUAGGUUAAGAUUCUAGCCCAAAAGAGUGUGAAGAAAAUGUUGAAAAAUGUAACAGUAAUGCAAUGUAAAUGCUCUGAAGGCAAGCAGAACUCUUUCUUUAUAAUUUUUAAAAAUCUCGUUUUGUUUAAGCCAGCCGCACCAUUUUCUAGGGAAUGACUCAUGAUUUUUUAACACAUUUAGUUGUCAUAGUUUAGUUGUCCUGUUCCAUACACAUCUGGGGAAUUGUAGCUAUUCUUGACAGUCUUAUUUUGUAGAUUGUAAAGUCUUUGUGAUAGGGACAUCACUUACAUGUAUUACAAAGUAUUGCUUUUUUCUAACAAGAGUCCUCCUCCACAACUGGGUCUUGGGGCACUUUCAUAACCUAUGUUUAAAAAUAAUAGUAAUAACAACAACAACAAUAAUAAUAGCAAUAUCUAAAUAAUAAUCAGGGGAAGGCCAUUGGCAGUGGUCUCUAUGCCCCGAAUACCUUACCUAUUCAGUAUUAUCAGAAUAAGAAAUUGGAGGGGAGGAGAGGAAACCCUAAUUCCUGAAAUUAUUUUGCAGAUAUUAUUUGUCUUUGAAAGGGAUAACGUUAUUUUCUGGCAGGCAGUUUGGGCUGCAGUACGGAGGAAAAUAUACAACUGGCAUUGUUGUUGGGGUAGACAGGUACUGACUAAUGGCAGAGGUCUGGAAAUCAGAACACAGAUGUGGAUUUGGAGAAAAAAUUGGAGAGCAGAAGAAAAAUGCCAAAUUCAUCCAGGAAUACUGGGAUUGUAGCUUGUGCUAGCAAAAUCUUGUUGCAAUCCAGUGCACAUAUUUACUUUUGUAAUCUCAGAAAAUAUAUACCUGUAAUGGCGCAAUUGUAACUGACAGAAACUUAGGAGAUUUGGGGAAAAUUGUGCAAUUAGCUUCUGACAAUUAACUUCUGCAGCAUAGUCAUUACUAUGCUUGUUGCUGGGGUUACUAUGGAUCUUCAAAAUUUAGGAUAAGUAUAUGUGGAGUGUAGGAAGUUGCACGGGAACUGUGCCAUUGAGUCAUAUAUAUUUACAUUUUUCAGAAAGACUGGGAAACCAAGUAUGUCUAGAAGGAUUAGUAAAACAGGGCAAAAGCUUAAUGUGUUACCUGGCAGCUAGGGUCAUACAGGAGUUGAAACCACCCUGUCUAAUGGGGAUACAUGAGUGGAAAGCAAAGAGGUUGUUUUUCUUUUCUGUUGUUACUGGGGAAAAAGUAUAGAGGGGGACUGAAGCAGAUUUUUCCUUUGACAUUUCCUUGUUAAAAUGUUUUUUUGUGAUCCUGUGUUUUCUGUUGAGGGAUACAAAUAUUACACUUUCACUGCACACCAUGGGGCUCCAGGAUACAACUGUGACUCUGGAACUGAUGGGGAAACAGGUACGGCAGAAAGAAGGGAGACAGACAAGAACGAGCAGCAGAUUAGCUUUUCCAUCUUAAGAAAAGACCUCUGCCCUCCUCUGGAGACUUCUGAAAGAUGAUGGGUGUUUCUACCAUCCCAUAACUAUGAAGGAUUGCUGAUGGAAGUGCUUCAGUUAUUAGGCCUGUGAAAUGAGGAUGAUGAUGCUUGCUUCACAACAGAGGUCCAUAUAACCCUGAUAAGGGAACAGUGCUGCACAAGAGCAAAGUGAAACUUCAUAAAGGAGAAGAGUGAGGAAUUUUAAAACAAAGACACAUAAAGGACAUCAUAAAUUGAUUAUUAAAUAAUAGCAAAACAUAUUGCUGGGCAGAUGCAACAUAAGACACCAAAACAUACCAAGUCUUGACUAACUGUGAAUAAAUCACAAUCUAACCUUUUUAUGAACGCUGCUAUCGGCUAAGGAAUUGACUUUACAGAGGUGUGUCCAUUUUUGUGCUAUGGAAAUAAAGCUGUAAUUGUAGUCAGUGUUUGGCAGCUAGCUAGGAUGCAGUUAGAAUUCCAUGAAUCUGAAUCCUUUUGUAGGACACCAUUAAACAGCUGGUUACUGUGGAGCGGAUUCCUCACAAAGAAGUUGUAGUGCAACAAGCUUUCCAGGGACGAAUACAGGCUCUGAGUAGAUAAGGCAAGGGAAUUAAAAUUAAUUGAAAGACCAUUGUGUUGUAAAGCACAUGGAUUUCAAGACCUGGGAUAAAGGAUCUGGUUUAAUUGCUAAUGAAGUGUUUAAGUGGGCUAAUGAAGGAAGAGUGUGUAUGUAGGUAUGUACACUUGUUACUAACAAGAAAAAUCAUAGUUUCUACAGAUUCAAUUGCUACAAUAGACAAGUUUAUAUAUAUGUAUCUUCAAAUGUAGUAAAUAUUGUACUUCCAAAAUUGUGAA